rnacentral:lncRNA from 1 species
UGCCUCAGACAUUGCAAACUAUAUUGAUGGCCCACUAGCUGUGAUCCACACCACCAGGCUGACAACAAAGAGGAUUGUUUAUUUGUUACCACUUGAGAAAAACCUAUCGAUCUAUAUAAAGAAAAGGAGCUGUCUGUUCCGUAAGAAUAUGUAAACAAGAAUUUUCUCAGUGAGCCGUUUAACCAACAAGUUGCCAUCUAACAACCAGGAUGCCAUUGACUUUGUCCUUGAACUAUGACCUCACUGCUUCCAGUUAGGUGUAAACAGGAGGCAGAAACAUUCCUAGCAGGCUCAUCAAACACCAACUGACAGCUUAUGACAAGACACAAGAUUCAACUUUAGAUGCAAGCUGUUCAAACAAAGUCAGAAGCUCUUUGACUGAUCUAUCUGAUUGAGUGGCUAUCAUUUUCCCAGCAAAGCUGGCAGAUUUUUAAUUAGACAGUGAGAUCAAAAAGUGACAUGGAUUCAUCUGUUAGGGUGAAUAUACUGUGCAUAUCCUUCCUACUGUGACUUCUUAUUUGAAAAAGCAAAAUAAAAAGGAAGAAAAAAAUUCAGUAACAUGAAACCACAGGUCAUGGUCACCUGGACCCUUGACUUGUUUAAAACACUUCUACAUAACCCACUGCCUGGUGAAAGCUUCUAUGUGAGACAGCUGCCUGUCCAUGGUAAUUUGUGACUGCAUGGCCAAGGUCCAGCAAUGCCCUGCUCCAGAUUUCUUACUUCUUUGUAACUUCUUUGGAAAUAUUUCUUUGAUUAACUAAUUCAAUUCAUAAAGUUUUUAUUUCAGGUUUUUUAAACAUUUUAAAAUUACAGCCAUGAGGUCAUAACAUAAUGAUAUCAAUAUCGUGAAAAAAACAAGCUUUGCUAACAGAUGUUCCUGCUUCUGUAAACAAUCGUAACUCUAUACAGGACCAAAGGUCUCCCUGUAAAAACCAGUUCCUAUCAUCAUGAUAAUUAACCAACAUUUUUUCAAAAUUCUUUCUGAUCCUUACCUAAAUUAAAAAAAACGUUGUGAGGAACUUUAAAAACAUGAUUAUUAGUAAUAAAUGUUCAUUUCUUUUAAGAAGUCUGUGACCAUGAAGAAGUACAAAGUCCCUUGGUCAAUCUUUGUACACAAUCACAGUUAUUACCUUAAUUACAUUUAAACCCCUCCUUGAGAACUUUUCAAUGUGAGGUGAAUUUGUGAUAUUUUGUAUCGAUAGUAAUAAAGGCCUAACAAUGUCGUUUUGGAUUACUUUCCCUUCUCACAUGGUUCUUCACUGCAUGCGGUUAAUAACAUUUCCAUUUAAACUCUCUUGGUAAGCUAGAUUUUUCACUUCGGCUUCCAGCACAUCACUGUACCAAAUAAGAGAAUAGGAUGAAAAUCAUUUUUCAGAAUUUGACCCUAGUGAAAGUUGGUGAUAUUGCUGCCUGUUCACACAGUGGUUUUACAUUCAGUGAACUCACUGGGUCUAACUUUACAUCAGAAAACCCUUACACGAAUUCCCUCAUUGAGGUGCUGAUUAUGUGGGGCCUGUACUUAUUUCAUUUCAAAUUGGUCAUGUGAUACAUUUUUUCCGUUGUCAUAUGGAAACUGAAAGAUGGAAUCUCACAAAAAACAUAA